AUUGGGGGGAAGGAGAAAGGAGGAGGAGGUGCAGAAUUGGGGGGCAAGGAGAGAGGGGGUGUUGCAGAAUUGGGGGGCAUAGGAGGAAGGAGGUCCCGAGGUUUGGGGGGGCGAGGAGGAGGGGCAGGAUUUAGGGGGGAAGGAGCAGGGGUGGAGUUUGGGGGGGGGGAGGAGAAAGAGGAGGUGCAGAGUUUAAGGAGGAAGGAGAGAGAGGAGGUGCAGAUUUGGGGGGAGAAGGAGAAAGAGGAGGUGCAGAGUUUUGAGGGGAGAAGGAGAAAGAGGAGGUGCAGAGUUUUGAGGGGAAGGUGGAGAAGGAGGGGCGGAAUUUGGGGGGAAGGAGAAAAGAGGUGCGGAGUUUGGGGGCAAGGAGGAGGAGGUGGUGCGGGAUUGCUGGAGGAAGGAAAGAAGGGGUGCGGGGUUGCAGGAGAAAGAAGAAGGGGUGCGGGAUCGAAGGGGGAAGGAAAGAGGGGGUGCGGGCUUGCAGGAGGAGGGAGGAGGGGGAGGCGGGGGACUGAAGGGGAAGAAAAAGAGGGGGGCCGGGUUCCUGGGGGGGAAAAAGGGGUGCAGGAUUGCGGGAGGGGGUGGGAGAAGGGGGAGGUGCGGGGUUGCAGGGGGAAAAGGGGGUGCGGGGUUGCAGGAGGAGGGAGAAGAAGAAGGAGGAGGUGUGGGCUUGAAGGGGAAGGAAAGAAGGGGUGCAGGGUUGGUGGGGGGAAGGGGGUGCGGGCCUGCAGAGGGGAGAAAAGAGGGGGGGAGGGCCUGCAGGGGGAGGAAGAAAGGGGUGCAGGAUCAAAGGGGAAGGAAAGAGGGGGUGCGGGGCUACAGGGGGAGGAAGAAGGAGGAGGAGGAGUGGGCUUGAAGGGGAAGAAAAGAAGGGGUGCAGGACCGCUGGGGGGGAGAAAGGGGGUGGGAUUGUGGGAGGAAGGAAAGAAGGGGGGCGGGAUUGCAGGGGGAAGAAAAAAGGGGUGCGGGGGUGCAGGAUCAAAGGGGAAGGAAAGAGGGGGUGUGGGCCUGCAGGGGGAAAAGGGGGUGCAGGGGAGGAGGAGGGGGUGCAGGAUCAAAGGGGAGGGAAAGAGGGGUGCAGGGCUGCAGGGGGAAAAAGGGGGUGCAGCGUUGCAGGAGGAGGGGGUGCGGGGCUGCGGGGGGAAGGAAAGAGGGGGUGUGGGCCUGCAGGGGGAAAGAGGGGGUGCAGGAUCAAAGGGGAAGGAAAGAGGGGUGCGGGGCUGCAGGGGGAAAAAAGGGGUGGCUUGUGGUAGGGGGGUGAGGAAAAGGGGGUGCAGGAGUGUUGAGAGAAGGCGCGACCCCCUCCCCCCUUCUCGGCACCCGAUGUAG
rnacentral:lncRNA from 1 species